rnacentral:rRNA from 1 species
AGAGUUUGAUCCUGGCUCAGGACGAACGCUGGCGGCGUGCUUAAUACAUGCAAGUCGAGCGCAAUAAAGGAAAGAGUUUACUUUUUUCUAUAUUGAGCGGCGGACGGGUGAGUAACGCGUGGGCAACCUACCUUCUAGCCCGGGAUAACAGAGCGAAAGAGCUGCUAAGACCGGAUAAGCUUCCGACCGGACGUCCGGAGGGGAGAAAAAGAGAUGCUAGAAGAUGGGCCCGCGUCCCAUUAGCUAGUUGGUGAGGUAACGGCCCACCAAGGCGACGAUGGGUAGCCGACCUGAGAGGGUGAACGGCCACACUGGGACUGAGACACGGCCCAGACUCCUACGGGAGGCAGCAGUAGGGAAUUUUCGGCAAUGGGCGCAAGCCUGACCGAGCAACGCCGCGUGAGGGAAGAAGGUCUUCGGAUCGUAAACCUUUGUCUUUGGGGACGAUAAUGACGGUACCCAAGGAGGAAGCCACGGCUAACUACGUGCCAGCAGCCGCGGUAAUACGUAGGUGGCAAGCGUUGUCCGGAAUUACUGGGCGUAAAGGGCGUGUAGGCGGUUUUUUAAGUCAGGCGUGAAAACUUAGGGCUUAAUCUUAAGAGUGCGUUUGAGACUGAGAGACUUGAGGAUCGGAGAGGGCAGUGGAAUUCCCAGUGUAGCGGUGAAAUGCGUAGAUAUUGGGAGGAACACCAGUGGCGAAGGCGACUGCCUGGACGACACCUGACGCUGAGGCGCGAAAGCUAGGGGAGCAAACGGGAUUAGAUACCCUGGUAGUCC